rnacentral:rRNA from 1 species
UACAGAGGGUGCAAACGUUGCUCGGAAUUAUUGGGCGUAAAGCGCGUGUAGGCGGCUUGUUAAGUCGGUUGUGAAAACCCAUGGCUCAACCAUGGAAGUGCGUCCGAAACUGGCAAGCUAGAGUCUUGACGAGGGUGGCGGAAUUCCCAGUGUAGAGGUGAAAUUCGUAGAUAUUGGGAGGAACACCGAUGGCGAAGGCAGCCUCCUGGGCCAACACUGACACUCAGGCACGAAAGCGUGGGGAGCAAACAGG